rnacentral:rRNA from 1 species
UACAGAGGUCUCAAGCGUUGUUCGGAUUCAUUGGGCGUAAAGGGUGCGUAGGCGGCGCGGUAAGUCGGGUGUGAAAUCUUGGAGCUUAACUCCGAAACUGCAUUCGAUACUGCCGUGCUUGAGGACUGGAGAGGAGACUGGAAUUUACGGUGUAGCGGUGAAAUGCGUAGAUAUCGUAAGGAAGACCAGUGGCGAAGGCGGGUCUCUGGGCUGACACUGACGCUCAUGCACGAAAGGCGUGGGGAGCAAACGAGGAUUACGAAACCCGUGGU